CACCCAGGGAUAACAGAGCAGAUGCAUCGCUGAAUGCUCCAGAGAUCUCCUAGGCACAUGGACGUGGCUGCACCAUUCAGACCGGGAAACCUUUGUGGAAGUUUUCAGCCCAUGCUUUCCACAGUGACCCAAGAUUGUUUCAUUCCUAAGGAGCUGCCAACGCGUUGACGGACAACGCCAUCCCCAUCAGCCACAGCAUUUCUCUCUCCUUGCCAGGAAGCCGGGCCUGUUCGCUCUGACACGGGCUGUGCGGCCCCGCUCCCCUCUCCUCCCGCAGCAGCGGGGCCGCGUGGCAGACCCCGUUCUCCCUGCUCCCAAGCCCACGACCUCGCUUUCCACGCGGUGACAUUUCAGCGCUCCGGGCCCCCGCACACCCGGCCCUUUCGUCUCCCCGCUGCUGAGCGCACCCGCAGGCCGACGGGACAACGCUGAGGAGCGGCUGCAGACGCGCUGCUGGGCCUCUCCCCUACCGCAGCUUCACCUCUCGGGGCCGCAGCACGGAGUCCCCGGCUUUCCCUCCCUCGCUCAGCGCCCCGCACGCUGCCCGCCCCGCCCGCCAGCUCCCCGGUCCUGCAGAAGCACCUACCGCUGCGGGCUGGCGGCUCUCGGCGCUGUGUGCCGGCACCUGCCGGGCUGCGGGGCGGGGCGCUGCGGGGCGGGUGGCGGGGCGGGCCCGGCUGAGGCCUGCGGAGCCGCGGCCUGGCGUAGCGGGGCAGGCCGGGCGCCCCCUCCCCGCCGGCGGCUGUCAGAGAAGGGGUGGAGCGCGGCCUCGCGGCGCUGUGCGAACCUCCGGCGCCUCGGCCCUGCGCUGCGGGGCCAGAACCUCCGGCUGUCACCGGGUAACGGGGCUGUGACCUCAGCCCGCCCGCCUUGCCCGGGCGCCAGAGGCAGCAUGAGCGUGGCGGUCACGUUGGCAGAUCUGGCGGACAUCGCCUUUCGCACGCCCCAUGGCUGCAGUAUCAACGCUGGCGCCCUGCAGCUUCUCCUGCGCGGGCUCCUGGAGCACCUGCAGCUGCAGGAUGCUGCCACGAACCUCUCUGAGGAUGAGAGGGGCCUCCUGCAGCCUGAGGUCAGCGCAAAGCCCCGCAUCCUCCUCCAGCCAGGCCGCCCCAGUGGGCCCCUGGGUACCACAGAGCUGCAGAGCCAUGGGCAGGCCCCUAGCACACCGGCCGCUGACACAGAGCAGAUGGUGCAGCUGACGAAGAGGAUGGAGGUGAUCGAGGAGGGGAUGACGAAGGUCGUAGACACACUGCAGGAGAUGCUCACCAACACCUGCUCCCUGAAGACCACCAUCCAGGCCUUCCAGGAGGAGCUGCAGCUCCUGAAGGACAGUUUCCAGAAGACUGGUCUGGAGGAGCUGCGAGAGCGGGCAGUACAGCAGGACGAGCACACCCACCUCCUGCAGAGCAUCCUGGGCCAAAUGGUGAGCCUGACAAAGCGGCUGGAAGCAAAUACCCAACCCCUGACCUGCAGAACUGGGGGCAGGGCAGUACUGAGUGUGCUGGCAAGGUCUGGUCUCCCUGUCCUCACCGCAGGGUCUGCCCAGGCUCUCCAUGCCACAGCAGGACUGAUUUCUCUGCCGGUCACAGGCGGAGGUGCGGCAGCAGCUGAGCUCCUUCCCCUGGCAGACUGGAGUGCUGUGCUCGCUCUGCAGGCUGCCUGCUGGUGA
ensembl:lncRNA